rnacentral:tRNA from 1 species
GCCGACUUAGCUCAGUAGGUAGAGCAACGGUAUCGUAAACCGUAGGUCCCGAGUUCGAAUCUCGGAGUCGGCU